GACGGAAGGUGCAAGCGUUGCUCGGAAUCACUGGGCGUAAAGGGUGCGUAGGCGGCCGUGCAAGUCUGGCGUGAAAGCCCCGGGCUCAGCCCGGGAAGUGCGCUCGAAACUGCGCGGCUCGAGUGCCGGAGGGGAGAGUGGAAUUCCUGGUGUAGCGGUGAAAUGCGUAGAUAUCAGGAGGAAUACCGGUGGCGAAGGCGGGUCUCUGGGCAGUAACUGACGCUGAGGAGCGAAAGCGUGGGGAGCGAACAGG
rnacentral:rRNA from 1 species